CAAGGCCGGCCUCCCAAUGCCGAGCAGGCACUCAGGGUCCUGCGCUUAGGCCAGUUCCAGCUGGGUUUAAGGCUUCGCUGUCUUGCUGGUGCUCGCUUUUGAGUAAAAGGCCCGGCGCUUUCGUUCUGCAGUGGACCCUGUGAGUUAAGCCGUUGCCCCAGGGGCUGAGCCAGCGUCCAGUACUCUUGCCCAUGCGGGUAUUCUUGGUCUCAGUGGGAGGGCAGCAUCUUGUGCCCGGGCAAAGCCCUGGGCGGGGUCGCCUCACCGCUGCGGGCAGAUUUACAGACGCAGGCGAAGGAGGGGUUCGGGAUCAGCUAAGCCUUGGAAACGCAGCGGGACUGGAGAGGAGUCGAGGACUCUGGCAAAUCAUGGCCCUGGAAGAAUUCAUUCCCCAAAUCUGAGCGGGUGGAGGGAUGCAAAGUGACCUUCUGGAUCUGCAGGAUUGCGUUUCUUAGGUGGGUGCAACGGAAACACAGCAAUAGACAACCAAGUUGGAUAAGCAGGAAGACCGACGCCUUCAUCACCUGCUGAGUUGGUUAUGUAAAUAGCCAUCACUGAGAGUGGAGUGAGGAACCAGGAGAAGAGACUUCAGGAAGAUUUCCUGUGCGGAGUCGAGCUUCGACACUGUGGCAUGGGUAGUUCCUCCUCUUCUAUUCUAUUC